rnacentral:misc_RNA from 1 species
CGUGUCUUCUGCUACUAUUGUGGACUGGAAUGCUGCUGUCAAAAAACAAAUAAGCAAAUGCACAAGCCGCUUUUUCAGUCAUGACCACUUGUUUCCCUCGCACAUUGAUAUUAAAUCAUUACACUUUAUUAUUUGAGACUUUCAUUUAAACUGUCACAUUUUCGUUUUGUGGCUGCCGAGUUUGCGUUUGCAGCACUGAAGCCAGCAUGCUUCAUGGUGUACAAUGUUGAACGAAACAGACAUGCAAGACUUAGCACUGGCAUCGCAUGGUUGCCGCAUUUCAUUUUCUUCAUGCGGACAUGAAGACAUAGCUUCAAGCCAGAACAUAAUUGAUGGGUCAAGGAGCACAUUUUGGACAACCACAGGCCUCUAUCCACAUUCUUUUAUAAUAUCAUUCCCAAAACCUAUCAACCUGAGUACCAUCACUGUAAGGAGUUAUUGUGUAAAGAACAUGCUGAUAGAAGCAUGUUCAGGAAAUUUGUCUACAGGUUUUGUUGAAUUAAAAACGCUUGAUAUGCAGUUAACAGAUCUUCAUCACCAAGUUUCAAAGGUGAAUCUUGAUUCAACUACUGCUCAUCAUUUGCGGUUUACUAUUAAAGAUGGAUUUCAAGAAUUUUGCGCCAUUUACAAGGUGGAAGUGUUUGGCACCCAGUUACAACAUCAUUUGUAACCACAAGCCCUCUCAGACUCCAGACCUGUCAGAAUGGAGGGGGUAAUAAGAGCAGAGCUCCUGACUCCCACCAGAGACAGAUCUCAACUUUUCUGCCCAUAAGAAUGUAGAAGUACUCUUAAAAAUUCUUUCUUCAAAAAUUUUCGAUCAGAACCUUUCUUAGGAGGACCUCAAGAUUUCUAUAAAAUUAAUAAAAUAUUCUGCCCAAAUUCGUUGACUUAAUUUUUUUCACUGACAAUA